rnacentral:rRNA from 1 species
CCUACGGGAGGCAGCAGUGAGGAAUAUUGGUCAAUGGGCGCAAGCCUGAACCAGCCAAGUCGCGUGAGGGAUGACGGUCCUAUGGAUUGUAAACCUCUUUUGUCGGGGAGCAAGGCCCGCCACGUGUGGCGGGAAGGAGAGUACCCGAAGAAAAAGCAACGGCUAACGCCGUGCCAGCAGCCGCGGUAAGACGGAGGAUGCGAGCUUGAUCCGGAUGGAUGGGGUUGAAAGGGUGCGUAGGCGGAAGGUUAAGUCAGCGGUCAAAUGUCGGUGCUCCACACCGGCCUGCCGUUGCAACUGGUCUUCUUGAGUGCGCGAGAAGUAUUCUGCCUGCGUGUUGUAGCGGUGACCUGCAUAGAUAUCAGGAGGAACACCGGCGGCGCAGGCGGCCUGCUGGACUGAACCUGACGUUGAGGCUCGAAAGCGUGGGGAGCAAACAGGAUUAGAUACCCCUGUAGUC